ensembl:lncRNA
UCAAGGAAACAGAAAUGAUUCGUUAAUUCCUUCAUUUCCAGACUGGGUACUACUGAGCCUAUGCAGGUCACAUGAAAAAUGAUCCAAAGACUCGUACCUGGCAGAUGAACGAAUCAUUGAUCCGAAGACUAGGUUGGCAGAAGAACGGCUUUGCUCGUUAGUGCGACUCCGCAAGCGUGGUUCUCACACACCGCUGCCGGACAUCUUUAUCUCCAACGUGCACCACUCAGCAACAAACGGGACGAACUUUAGCUGCUGCUGGUCUAGUUGAGAUCUUCAAGCAAUUCCUGCCACCUGCUGCUGAUCUUCUUGAUUGCCUCUCCUCGCCUCCAGUAUUUAAGCCCGGUCUGAACUUCCAGUCUUCGGCAGUUCGUCAGUUACUCUUGUGUCUGCUUCUUCCCCAGUUUUACUCUGUGUCCUGCUUCUCCGCCUUGACCAGCUCUUCUUCCGGCCUCGCCAGUUCCCAUCCGGAGCUCCAGCCUCCCCAG